ensembl:lncRNA
GACCUAUUGAAUCAGAAGCUCUAGUGAGGGUGUGUCCGCGCAAUGUCUUAACAAGCUUUCCAGGGAAUACGGAUGUGUGCUAAAGUUUGACAACCGCUGCUCUAGACCAGGGCUUCUCAGAAUUUAAAAUUCAUAUGCAUCACCCAGGAGCUUGUUAAGCAGCGCAUUCCGAUUCAGCAGGAAUGGAGUGGGGCCUGAGGGUCUGCGUUUCUCACAAGCUGCCAGGUGUGGCCCAUGCUGCUGUUUCUCAGACCACACUAUGUAACUUUAGAAGGAAGACUGAGCCUAAUGGUGAAGAGCGUAGCCCCACAUUCUUCAGCUGCUCUGUGGACUCGGGCUGAGGAGCUCAUGUGUCCUCCUUGGCUCAGUAGAAGCAGGUCGGGCUGACACUCACGAGACCUUCAAUCCAGUGCCAGCUUGACCCACGGUGCUGGGCCCGGUAUAUUCUCAGUGCAUGGGUUUCUUUCUGUAAGAUGGGGAUAAAAGUCUCUCCCCUACUUCACGAGGAUGAUUUCAAGGACUGAUGAGAUUGUGUGUUAAGAACGCGCCUCAGAGGACGGGCACGGUAUGAAUGCUGGGUAUUGCCGUCGUUGUCCAUUUACGUUUCAGAGUACUUCGCUGAUGUUCCUGGUCACGUCUUCCUCGUCUCGUAAAGCAGGUUGGAUCCAAAGAAUUGAGUUUGGCUCAAAGUCACACAAGGUUGGGUGCCUCAGCUGAGUCUAAACAAAGAACAAUUGAGUUCCUAAUCUAUGCUCAGCCUGUUGGACCACAGUGACCUCUGCUCUCUGUACCUGGAAGCCCAGCCCUGGUGGAGGAAAUAAUGCUCCUGCUUCUCCAGAUGGUGCGGAACCUGUUACACUGCCUCCCCCUCCCCAGCAGCCCGGGUGAAUCUAGCUCUGUUUGUGUCUGGCCCACAUCUCACACCUGCCCGGCACAGCCUGCCGCUUGCUGAGAGAGAAUGUGGGGCAGAAGUGUGAGUCGGGGGAUGCUCAGUUGGGCAAGGGGAGAGCCAGAGGACACAAAUCCACUUUGGGGGUUCAGAAGUGAUAUGUGAGCGUAAACACAAGUGGGAGCCUAACUGAAGUUUCAGCCGAACUGAAAUGUUUCUACUCUGUCCGACUUCAAUUCCUUUGCAUAGGGAUCAUCUGAAACAGAAAUGCCAGGACAGAACAAAAACGGAAAAAUCCCCUCUGAGGCUGGGACCAUGGCAGCGGCCGCGGCCGGACUUGCUCGUCAUUCGCCCGGAUUCCCCUGCCCUGCUUGGGACUGCAGCCCUCUGUCUUCUGCAAACGACUUCUCCCAGGCUGUCUUGCUGCCUGGCUUCCGGCUGGGUUCAGCCCGAGUGAGUCAGUGAGGGUGAAUCCGAGGGCUGGAGGAAGGGAGAAGCCAGGCUGUUCCCCUUGUUCUCCCACUGAGCUGGCCGGGGUCUCUAACAGCGGCCCCCUGCCAGUGUGCUCCUGCUGGGCAGCCACUCUCCACGGUUCCAGCUUCACCAGACUGCUGAGUUCAGGUGCUGAUAACAUUUCCUUCCCAAAUGUGGAAACUUGCUGCUCUCACUUCUGUGGGGGAUUGGCUUUUCAGCUCUUCCACCGUCUCUGUGACCAGCUCCCCACAUUACAUUUCCUCUAUUCGACUCCCUGGCUGCCACUGUCUUCCUAACUGAUAAAUGCACGGAACCUCUGAGGGCGCCUGGUCUGCUUUACAGAUGAGGAACCUGAGACCCAGGGAAGCCACAGGCCCCUCCUAUAGGAAGUGGGUCCAGGUGGGACUGGAAUCCGGCUCCCCCAGCGUCGCUUAGUGAGCCUCCUGGGGCAGGGGGCCUAUGGGGUCCGGACUCAAAGGGGCCACUUUUACUGGUAAGGAGAAAGCGGGAAAUAAAGCUGGAAUUGCCAGUUCAUGCACAGAAAUGGUCCAAAUACUCUAAUUACCCAGAAAGGCCCCUUCCUUUAAAAAAAAUAAAUGAAAGGCUGAAAAGAAAAGAUAAAGAGAGAAACUUGGGUGUCAAGGUGUGAGGGAAAGAGAUGGAUCUUCUUAUUUCUCCUAUUUGCCUCUUUAGACUUUGAAGAGGAUCCCGGGGUCCGGGUACUGGCUUCUUUCGAAGGAAAACAGGGACCCCUCAUCCCUUCUGGGGGAGGACUGGAUGCUUCGGGGUGACACCCAUGGCUUCAUCCAGAGCAUCUUGCAACAAUUCCUUGGGGCAUGUGGAGAAGCCUGAACCUUGUCACAAUUAGGCCUCAGCUCUGGCAACCUGUGUUUACACCAGGAUGCCCCCAGCCUGGGCCAGGUCAGACUCCAGCCCAGCACCUGCUCCACCAGCACCCAAACCAGCCCUCCCAAAGGGCACUCCGUGGUCAGCAGGGCCAGCAGAGCCCUGGAGGGGGCCCUCCCUGACAACCACCCUUUGACUCAUGCAUUAUUCAGAGGCCGCUGGACUGGCGCUGCCUGCUGCCUGCAGGGCUCACGGAGAGGUUCAGCUCCAGCCGCACAGGCAGAGCCAAAGGGAUAUGUGACUUGAGAAACUUUUCUUUUUAAUUGUAGUAAAAUACACGUAAACUUUAGUCUUUACAAUUUUUAAGUUUACGGUUCACUGGCAUUAAGUACAUUCACAUUGCUGUGCCUGUCACCUGUCACCACCGUCCAUCCACAGAACUUUGUCAUCUUCCCAAACUGAAACUGUCCCCAUUAAACACUGACUCCUCAGUCCUCGCUCCUCCAGCCCCUGGGACCCACCAUUCUACUUUCUGUCUUUAUGAAUUUGACUACUCGAGUUACCUCAUAUAAGUGCAACCAAGCAGUAUUUGUCCUUUGUGACUGGCUUAUUUCACUUAGUAUAAUGUCUCCAAGGUUCAUCCACCUGUCAAUUUCCUGCCUUUUUAAGACUGAACACUGGCCCAUUGCAUGUAGAUCCCACAUUUUGGUUAUCCAUUCAUCCAUCAAUGGGUUGCUUCCACCUUUUAGCUAUUGCGAAUAACACUGCUACGGACAUGGAGGUACAGAUACCUUUUUGAGGCCCUGCUUUCACUUCUUUUGGGCAUACACCCAGCAGCAGAAUUGCUGGAUCAUUACUGGAUCAUCAUAGGGUAGUUCAUUUGCAAUUUUUUGAGGAACCGCCCUAUGGAUUCCCAUAGCUGUAUCACUUUACAUUCCCAUCAGCAGUGCACAGGGUUCCCUUUUCUCCACAUCCUUGUCAAUACUUGUUGCUUUCUUUUUUUUUUUUUUUGAUAAUAGCCAUCCUAAUGGGUGUGAAGUGUCUUUUAACUUUUUAAUUUAAUGUUUAAAAAAUGUAUUCCGUAUGUGGAAUAAAAAUUUCAACAUGCAUAAAAGGUGCAUAAUGAAACAUCAAUUUUCCUCUCUCCUCACCCCAGUUUCCCUGUUUCCAGAGGCAACCAUGGUUACCACCCUCAGGAACGCUCCUCAAGACGGUCCAUGCAGAGAUGAGCCUAUGUGCGCAUACAUCUGUUUAAAACAAAUAAGAGCACAGCAUACACAGUAUUUAACAUGUGGCUUUUUAUUAACUAAACGUGCCAUUUUUCACUUUAUAUAACAUUUCCAUAACUGUAUCUAUAGGUGACAAGAGAUUUAGAUCUGUAUAGGAUGCUGAAACUAUAAUGAGAGUCCCCAUCUUUCCAACCUAACACAGAAAAUUUGGCCUUGAGGAAGAUGAUAUCCUCCUGGCUGUUACUGGAGCAGCGCCCU